UACAGAGGUCUCAAGCGUUGUUCGGAUUCAUUGGGCGUAAAGGGUGUGUAGGUGGCGCGCUAAGUCAGACGUGAAAUCCCUCGGCUUAACCGGGGAACUGCGUCUGAUACUGGAUGGCUUGAGGUUGGGAGAGGGAUGCGGAAUUCCAGGUGUAGCGGUGAAAUGCGUAGAUAUCUGGAGGAACACCGGUGGCGAAGGCGGCAUCCUGGACCAAUUCUGACGCUGAGGAGCGAAAGCCAGGGGAGCAAAGCGGG
rnacentral:rRNA from 1 species